UAUAUUGUUCAUAUGUUUAAGCAGAAACAAUCCGAGCCACGUAGGCUCUCCCAAGGCACUGGCAGCAUCGACCGUACCAAAAAAUUGGGGAUACAUAGCAUCAGCUUUCUUUGCCUGUCAAGCUUCUAGGUUUUCUGAGAAUUGGAUAGAGUCGUUGUAUCAGAGGAAUUUGAACACUCCGUUCAAAGAGGAGAGAUAAAAGUGGCUUGAAAUCCAGACUCGUUAACAUCAUAGAACGGCAGUCGGCAAAAUUUGCAAUAAGAUCAGUCAGGUUGGAGCUCCACAAGGUUUUGUUUCACAUGGAUCAAAAAGUCCCAAUGUCUAAGAGUCAAUUGUUGGUUCAGGAGCUAAACAGCGCGCCAGUCCUUCACAUCAAACUGGAAAAGAAAAUGCUGUCUGGUCUUCAAGGAACAGGAGAAGCAUUCUUAGGAUAUCUAGCAGAUGAAGGCAUCCGCUGCAGAGCUCUUGGAAAAUCCGAUUUUAAACGUUUAUUUGAGAUCCCUUGAAUUGGCCUUGGGGAACCCUGACGUUUUGGUGUAAGUUCCUUGAAACUUACAAAUUCUUUGAAGGCAGUAACUGCACCAAUUGAUUUCUUAGAGCCUUCCAGUCUUGGAUCCAGAAGCCUAGAUGGCUCUGAGGCAGGAGGAGAUGAGACAGGCUCACCUUUGGGCAAUGGCUGACUCCCAAAAGAAUUCACAUUGCCUAAAUAACCAUUGUCAUUUGCACUAGAAUAUCUACUUGAGUCCCCAUGAACAGUCCCAUUAUCUGGC
rnacentral:misc_RNA from 1 species